CCUACGGGAGGCAGCAGUGGGGAAUAUUGCACAAUGGAGGAAACUCUGAUGCAGCGACGCCGCGUGAGUGAAGAAGUAGUUCGCUAUGUAAAGCUCUAUCAGCAGGGAAGAUAGUGACGGUACCUGACUAAGAAGCUCCGGCUAAAUACGUGCCAGCAGCCGCGGUAAUACGUAUGGAGCAAGCGUUAUCCGGAUUUACUGGGUGUAAAGGGAGUGUAGGUGGCCAGGCAAGUCAGAAGUGAAAGCCCGGGGCUCAACCCCGGGACUGCUUUUGAAACUGCAGGGCUAGAGUGCAGGAGGGGCAAGUGGAAUUCCUAGUGUAGCGGUGAAAUGCGUAGAUAUUAGGAGGAACACCAGUGGCGAAGGCGGCUUGCUGGACUGUAACUGACACUGAGGCUCGAAAGCGUGGGGAGCAAACAGGAUU
rnacentral:rRNA from 1 species